rnacentral:lncRNA from 1 species
UUUUUUUUCUUUUGCUGAUCACAAGAAUUUCCAUCUCCCUCCACUCCACCUGUCACAAAUUCUGAUGAAAUCACAUAGGUAGUAAGUGGAUAGGCAAAGCCACAAAUUCCUAUUAGCUGGUUGCAAAUUCAGUGAUUUGGGAGUCUUGGCCGUCCACUGGGGGAUGUGGUAAAGGAAGGCGUUGGGAGUGCUGCUACUAGCACAAGAGCUGAUGUGAUUCAGGGCUGAGUGAGAAUAAGCCAAUGAUAAUGAGGAAAAAGUUCACCAAAAAUGCCAGAAUGGAAGCAUCAACAAUUUCAGACUCUAUUUCAACUGUGGUUAAGCUAAAUUGCUUUCAGUUUGCAGGAAAUGGAGACUUACUAUAUUUAAGUUGCCAAAAACAGAUAACUUUGACGAAAAUAUAAAGUUGUUGAAUCUAAAACAGAUCAUCAUUCCUCUGAAAUCUUGAAUAAAUACUAAAUGAGAAACACUAUUUAGCAUGACUUCUUAACAGGACAAAAUUUUGCUCAGAUUUUCAGUGAGAACAUUCAAAUAGAAGAUACAGAUGAGAAAAGAAGAUAUAGGUGAAAUUACAAUUGCUCCAAUCUGAAUAUUUAUAACAAAUAUGUGAAUUAAAAAAGUAAAUAAAAACAAACAUCUACAUAACCACCAUCUAACUUGAGAAAACAAAACAAAACACAAUGCCAUAAUGUGGUACACAGUUACACAAUGUCUUAAGAAUUCCUUUCCUUCUUUCUGAACACAUUCCUUUCUCUACUCCCUAAUAGUGAUCACUAUCCUAAACUGUGUGUUUAUUAUUCCUUUUCCUUCCUUGAUAGUUUUUUUUUCAAAUUGUCCAUAUAUUCCUAAAUGAUAUACUGUUAGUAUUUCAUAUAAAUGGGAUCAUGUAGUAUAUGAGUUCUUUUGUUAUUCAAUCAUGGUGAGAUAGAUAGCUUUAGCUGAUUCGAUAUUUUACACCUGUGUAUUAAUUAUUUGCAUAGCUAAACCACAAUUUGUUUAUCCACUCUCCUGUCAAUGGAGUUGUUUCCUCUAUGGUGAUAUUUGCUUCUCUUGUUUUGUUUUUGUUUCUCUCUUGUCUAUUACAAAGUAAUGAAUAUGUUUUGUACUUCACUCUUCAUGCACGUCUAAGAAAUUCUCUAAAGUAUAAAUCUAAGAGAGGAAUUUCUUGUUUGUAAGGUAGACAUUUCUUCAAAUUAGGAAAGAAUUCUAAAUUGUUUUCCAAAUACAUUGCAAAAUGUAGAGUUAGCAACAGUCAUGUGAGUUGUUUUGUUCUAUAUUCUUACCAAAACUUGAUAUUGGCAGACUUUGAAAUUUUUGCCAUUCUAGCAAAUACAAAAUAGUAUAUACAAUAUAGUUACAGAUAUAAAACUUACUUUUAUCGUAGUCCUCUUGUGGCUUGUUUGUAAAAUCUUCCCCUACCCCAAGGUCACAUAGAUAUUCUCCUACAUC